GGAUGAUGGUUAGAAGGAUAGAUGGGUGUGUGGGCAAGUGUGUGGGUAGGUGACUGGUGGACAGAGGGUUAACUGAAGUGUAACUGUCCACUCAUUGUCUCACAAAGGGCACUAUUUUCUCCUUUGAGCUCAUGUCUUUAGGCUCUUCCUGAUGUAGGUUAGAGGGGGAGUGGGUCAGACUGGAAACCCAGAAAAAGAGUUCUGAUCUUGAUGAUGACCGUAGUAGAGUGACCACCCCUCUGGGCCUCUCAUGAAGGAUUUGGGUGGAGAUCUGGGAGAUGCGGCCUCCAUCUAUCCUCAUGGGAGUCUCUAAGAUGUAUCCAAAGAAGCGGAUCACAUGGACCUCAGGGCGCUGCAAGCAGACCUGGAGUGUGGCAGCCUGGGGCCAGGUUCUAUUGUAUUCUUUCCUGACACCCUGGAGCAGGUGACAGCAGGAAGCAGGGGCACAUCGAGGCAGCUCCAGAGCCAGAGGCCAGAGUCCUGGGGCCUUCCACGGAGCCUUUUACAGCCCUGCCUGUCACCACAGAUACAAGGAGGAGCCAGAGGCACCUUGAGAACCUCAACAGGCACAGCACAUGAGUGAGUCCACAGCCCUAGGCUAGAAUUUCGGGUUCCAUCAAAGAGAGUCAUGUGGAAGACCAGUAAAGGUGCAGAGAGCAAGGCUUAAGGAACACUUCUCAACUCAAUUCCAAAGAACUCCGCUCCGAAGCCUGCCUCCGCCUGCAGCUCCCACCUCACACUGGCCCGCAGGCUGGCUCAGCAGUAAGUGCGUUUCUCAUUUUUCUGGGCUUGUCUCCUUGGCUGUAAAACGGAGAUGGAAACCGCUCCCCGCAGGCUGACAGGAGGAUUAAACGGGAAUCAGACGACAUGACACGAAAUAACAUAAAAUAAAUUUCAAAUAACAUAAAUUCUGUAUAAUAUA
rnacentral:lncRNA from 1 species